rnacentral:tRNA from 1 species
GGGUGUAGCUCAGGGGCAGAGCAUGUGCUUGGUGUGCACAGGCUCCUGGGUUCAGUCCCCAGUAUCUCCA